UAUAGAAGAAAACAUGAAAAUCUCUCCAAGUAUUGUCACAACCACAGAUCUUAUUUUACUUGUAAGUUGAAAACCAAUAUCCUCCGUUUCAGGGACCUCAUAAUUCUGCCACCUCCUAUUUGAAAAUAACAUCAGGAGAAAAGACCUGCAUUAACAUUCAUGAACAAGUAUCUCUUUUUGUGUCCAUGGACUAAGGAAAACGACUUAAAGAAUUUUAUUGCACAGUAGCAGUCCAGUGAAGGAGGAUUGUUUCAAAGAAGACCAGAGGGUCUUUCUCCAUGGCAAAUUUAUUCAGCUGCACUCCUCGCAGCUGCACGCAAGGAUGUAACGGUAAGUAGCGGUUAUCCGUGUCCCGCCCGAGCAUCGCAGACGUACUGCCUUCAGUUUGGAGGUGUGUGGACGGCAGCAGAAACACGUGCUUUUGAAAGGCUGCUUCAGGACGGAGCUGAAAGAGAUCAGCGGGUCUGAGCGGGACGUGUGGCUGCAGUGACCCUCACAACGAGCCAAGAGGACCAUCUGUAGAGCAAAAAAGGUGACACCCUGCAGGAUAGUCAGCAGAGGACAUGUGACCAGAAGAAGUAGAAUCCCAGGCUGGCCCAAAACGACUGAGUUCCUCAUAUUGUCCACAACUUCCACAGGUAAAACAAAAGAAAGCUUGACUGUCUCC